GUUCUCGUAGCUCAGUUGGAUAGAGCAACGGCCUUCUAAGCCGUGGGUCGGACGUUCGAAUCGUCUCGAGGACACCA
rnacentral:tRNA from 1 species